GGAAUAUUGCACAAUGGGCGCAAGCCUGAUGCAGCGACGCCGCGUGCGGGAUGACGGCCUUAGGGUUGUAAACCGCUUUCAGCAGGGACGAAAUUGACGGUACCUGCAGAAGAAGCCCCGGCCAACUACGUGCCAGCAGCCGCGGUAAUACGUAGGGGGCAAGCGUUGUCCGGAUUUAUUGGGCGUAAAGAGCUCGUAGGCGGUCUGGUAAGUCGGAUGUGAAAUCUCCACGCUUAACGUGGAGGGGUCAUUCGAAACUGCCAUGGCUAGAGUUUGGUAGAGGAGUGCGGAACUCCCGGUGUAGCGGUGAAAUGCGCAGAUAUCGGGAAGAACACCCGUAGCGAAGGCGGCACUCUGGGCCAAUACUGACGCUGAGGAGCGAAAGCGUGGGGAGCAAACAGGAUUAGAUACCCUGGUAGUCCACGCCGUAAACGUUGGGCACUAGGUGUGGGACUCUAUCGACGGGUUCCGUGCCGUAGCUAACGCAUUAAGUGCCCCGCCUGGGGAGUACGGUCGCAAGACUAGAACUCAAAGGAAUUGACGG
rnacentral:rRNA from 1 species